rnacentral:rRNA from 1 species
CCUACGGGUGGCAGCAGGGAGGAAUAGUGGGCAAUGGGCGCGAGCCUGAACCAGCCAAGUCGCGGGAGGGAAGACGGUCCUAUGGAUGGUAAACCUCGUUUGUCGGGGAGCAAAAGACGGCACGCGAGGCGUUCCGAGAGUACCCGAAGAAAAAGCAUCGGCUAACUCCGUGCCAGCAGCCGCGGUACUACGGAGGAUGCGAGCGUUAGCCGGAUUUAUUGGGUUUAAAGGGUGCGCAGGCGGAAGAUCAAGUCAGCGGUAAAAUUGAGAGACUCACCCUCUUCGAGCCGUUGAAACUGGUUUUCUUGAGUGGGCGAGACGUCUGCGGAAUGCGUGUUGUAGCGGU